GGGGUGUCAGCGGCUCCCCAGCGGGCAGGCUGUCCCCAACGUUGCAGGACGUGUUAGCCACCAUGUGCGGCUUGCGGCGCGACAGGCGGAGCGAACCUUAGGCACAAGUCACCUUUUGUAUCGUCCAGCAGACUCUCCUCAACAAUGAUUACAUCCCUGGGAGAAGAGAAGAAAUCAUGGAAACAGGUGCGACAGUGUUUUAAAUUGUGAAGCACGUGGAUUGCUUUUCAAAAUAAAUGCAUUUGGAAUCCCGCAGAGAAAAUUCUAACCAAGUUGGAACCAUCUAAAAUACAAAUUCUUUCAUUCAGCAAACACUGGCAGAUGUCCUUGGGGGACAGGAGAUGGUCUGCAGUGUUGUAUCUCCCAUCCAACCUGGCAUAGCCUUUUACAGCCCUGCAUGGAGGCAGCCCUGGUCCUGGACUGAAGACCGUCUGGAGUAGAGCCAUAGUCAAUCCAUGGUGGACAUGCAGCAUGAAUGAGAAACAAACCUGGGAUGUGAUAAGCCACUGAUAUUUUGGGGUUGAUUGUUUCUGCAGCAAAACCUAGUCUAUC